rnacentral:rRNA from 1 species
UACGUAGGGACCGAGCGUUGUCCGGAUUCAUUGGGCGUAAAGAGCUCGUAGGCGGCCACUCAAGUCGAAUGUGAAACCUCGAGGCUCAACCUCGAGCCUGCAUUCGAUACUGGGCGGCUAGAGUCUGGUAGGGGGAUCUGGAAUUCCUGGUGUAGCGGUGGAAUGCGCAGAUAUCAGGAGGAACACCGGUGGCGAAGGCGGGAUCCUGGGCCAGUACUGACGCUGAGGAGCGAAAGCGUGGGGAGCGAACAGG